GCGGCUGCGGCCAAGCUGGGUCCGAGCAUCCCGCGGCUCUGGAGCCGCCCGGCCCGGACAUGGCGACCGUCCGGGCCUCUCUGCGAGGUGCGCUGCUCCUUCUGCUGGCCGUGGCGGGGGUCGCGGAGGUGGCAGGGGGCCUGGCUCCGGGCAGUGCGGGUGCAUUGUGUUGUAAUCAUUCAAAGGAUAACCAAAUGUGCCGUGAUGUAUGUGAACAGAUUUUCUCCUCAAAAAGUGAAUCCCGACUAAAACAUCUGUUGCAGCGAGCCCCAGAUUAUUGCCCAGAGACAAUGGUUGAAAUUUGGAAUUGUAUGAAUUCAUCUUUGCCAGGUGUGUUUAAGAAGUCUGAUGGCUGGGUUGGCUUAGGCUGCUGUGAACUGGCUAUUGCCUUGGAGUGUCGACAGGCAUGCAAGCAGGCAUCUUCAAAGAAUGAUAUUUCCAAAGUUUGCAGAAAAGAAUAUGAGAAUGCUCUUUUCAGUUGCAUUAGCAGAAAUGAAAUGGGCUCGGUUUGUUGCAGUUAUGCAGGUCAUCACACAAACUGCCGAGAAUACUGUCAAGCCAUUUUUCGAACAGACUCUUCUCCUGGUCCAUCUCAGAUAAAAGCAGUGGAAAAUUAUUGCGCCUCUAUUAGUCCACAAUUAAUACAUUGUGUGAACAAUUAUACUCAAUCUUAUCCAAUGAGGAACCCAACGGAUAUGUUUGAAUUUUUUGCCAAUGAGCAAUUAUUACUUUUGUAAUUAAAAAGUCAUAACAAUGAGAAGAGAGCCUGAUAUCUUUUAAAAAUUAGGGCCUCCUGAUGAAACUGCACCUGAAAUGGCUCUUCAGAGUCUCCGCUUUGUACAUCCUGGAAUCCAUUUUCUUCACCUAGAGGUGACCAGAUUUAUAAAAACUGACUGAUUGACCAAACUGACCAAAGACUGAUUUAUAAGAUGUCAAUGUUUUGAUUUACACUGGGAUAUUGAAAGAGGCUCUGUGGCUUAUGUCUGUAAUCUCAGCGCUUUGUGAUGCUGAGGCAGGAGAAUCGCUUGAGGCCAAGAGUUUGAGACCAGCCUGGGUAACAAAGUGAGAACCCAGCUCUACAAAAAAUAAUAAUAAUAAUUAGCUGGGUGUGGUGACACACCCAGCUCCUCAGGAGGCUGAUGCUGGAGGAUCGCUUGAGCCCAAGAGUUCAAGGUUGCAGUGAGCCAUCAUCACUUCACUGCACUCCAGCCAGGGCAACAAAGCAAGACCCUGCCUCGGGGGGAAAAAAAAAGACGAAAAGAAAGAAAGACUUGUUUUUUGUAACUCAAUAGCAGUACUGUGUGCCUUGUUUGGCCACCAUCUAAAUCAGAACUCUAAUGGCUUUUGACAUCCUUUGGUGUAGCUGUGUGGUCAAAAUCAGAGGAUGAAGCAUUGCCCCAAUAACCUUCAUUUGUUUUAAAGGCAGAUCUGUGCUCUCUGACAUUUAGUCUGUACGAGGUACUGCUGGAGCUAAGGAGAUGGCAGCUCAAUAAAAAAGCAGAAAGAGGUUUUAAGGGUAGAACAACCGUCUCCAUCUUUGCCAAUACAGAGGAAUCUGGAAAAGAAGGCGCCAAACAGAUAUGCACAGAUUUCUUCCAAAGUCAGAGAAAACUACUUCAAAGAAGCCCUUCUGAAUUCUGUAAUAUGGUUGAAAGUGUUUUUUUAUUUCUGAUUCUUUGAGAAAAUUAAAGGCAGAGCCAAACUGAUAUCUUGUCA
rnacentral:sRNA from 1 species